CGGUUAGAGGGAUGAUGUAUUAUUAUCGUGCCCUCAAGAUGUUAGCUUUCCUUGAUUCUGCAUCUGAGAUGGAUAUUCG